rnacentral:rRNA from 1 species
AGCGAACGCUGGCGGUAGGCCUAACACAUGCAAGUCGAACGGCAGUACAGUAAGAGCUUGCUCUUACGGGUGGCGAGUGGCGGACGGGUGAGGAAUACAUCGGAAUCUACUUUUUCGUGUGGGAUAACGUAGGGAAUCUUAUGCUAAUACCGCAUACGACCCAUGGGUGAAAGCAGGGGAUCUUCUGACCUUUCGCGAUUGAAUGAGCCGAUGUCGGAGUAGCUAGUGGGCGGGGUAUAGGCCCACCAAGGCGAAGAUCCGUAGCUGGUCUGAGAGGAUGAUCAAGCACAUGGGAAGUGAGACUCGUUACAGACACCUACGCUAGGACGCAGUGGGGAAUAUUGGACGAGGGGGGAGUGGCUAAUCUAGCCAAAUCGGGUAGAGCAUGAAGGACUUAGGGUUGUAGAACCCUGUUGUUGUGAAGGAAAUGCAACAGUUUAAUACCCCGCUGUUCUGACGGUACCCGAAGAAUAAGCACCGGCUAACUUCGUG